rnacentral:rRNA from 1 species
GGACGGGUGAGUAACGCGUGGGUAACCUGCCUCAUACAGGGGGAUAACAGUUGGAAACGACUGCUAAUACCGCAUAAGCGCACAGUACCGCAUGGUACAGUGUGAAAAACUCUGGUGGUAUGAGAUGGACCCGCGUCUGAUUAGCUAGUUGGUGGGGUAACGGCCUACCAAGGCGACGAUCAGUAGCCGACCUGAGAGGGUGACCGGCCACAUUGGGACUGAGACACGGCCCAAACUCCUACGGGAGGCAGCAGUGGGGAAUAUUGCACAAUGGGGGAAACCCUGAUGCAGCAACGCCGCGUGAGUGAAGAAGUAUUUCGGUAUGUAAAGCUCUAUCAGCAGGGAAGAAAAUGACGGUACCUGACUAAGAAGCCCCGGCUAACUACGUGCCAGCAGCCGCGGUAAUACGUAGGGGGCAAGCGUUAUCCGGAUUUACUGGGUGUAAAGGGAGCGUA